rnacentral:rRNA from 1 species
GACGAACGCUGGCGGCGUGCCUAAUACAUGCAAGUAGAACGCUGAAGGAGGAGCUUGCUUCUCUGGAUGAGUUGCGAACGGGUGAGUAACGCGUAGGUAACCUGCCUGGUAGCGGGGGAUAGCUAUUGGAAACGAUAGCUAAUACCGCAUAAGAGUAGAUGUUGCAUGACAUUUGCUUAAAAGGUGCAAUUGCAUUACUACCAGAUGGACCUGCGUUGUAUUAGCUAGUUGGUGGGGUAACGGCUCACCAAGGCGACGAUACAUAGCCGACCUGAGAGGGUGAUCGGCCACACUGGGACUGAGACACGGCCCAGACUCCUACGGGAGGCAGCAGUAGGGAAUCUUCGGCAAUGGACGGAAGUCUGACCGAGCAACGCCGCGUGAGUGAAGAAGGUUUUCGGAUCGUAAAGCUCUGUUGUAAGAGAAGAACGAGUGUGAGAGUGGAAAGUUCACACUGUGACGGUAUCUUACCAGAAAGGGACGGCUAACUACGUG